ACACAAGGAAGGAGGUGGUCCUGCCGAUGAAUGACUACAGGACAUGUGAGGUGGCUCGCGCCUGAGCGAGCUCGUUCCACCAGGGACGCGUGAGCUCGGGCAAUCCACUCGAGCCACCGGAACCCGCGGGUAUGACGGCAGUCGUCCAGCCGUCAGCGUCGGAUCGACGCAGCCCGCGGGUUCUUUCCU
rnacentral:sRNA from 1 species